CGGACCCGCCGGGGCUCCCCGCACGGAAAGGCACCGCGCUCCCCCCGCGAAGCCGGUCCCGAUGCUCCUCAACGCGAAUGAGGUGACACGGCUCCUGCAGGGUCGAGGCGCGAAACGACCCUCCCCAAACCCGCGCAGCCCCCGUGUCCUCGCGUGAGCGGGCGCCGGCUUGGGGAGCAAAAACGGGCAAAAAUGAGUGUCCUCGGCGCGCUUUCGCAUCCCCCGAGCCCAAGCAGGCACAGCCGGGCGAGCGGGGACGGGCCAGCGCGCUUCGGGCUGCUUGGGAUCGCUGGAUCUGUGCUUUACUAGACGGAGACGCCGGAGCAAAAGGAAGUGCUUCAGCAGCAAAAACCUCCGCGUGGAACCUGAACCUGGUCACAGUCAUGCCCUCGAAUAAUGAGAUAUUCUCGUGCUCUGCUGGAAUAACCGCCCAACGGCUUUUCCAAUCCAUUAGUUAUUCCGGAUCCUUCAACUUGUCACGGGGAAAAACCCAACAGCAGCAACCACGGACAACCCCAGCGGUGCUCGCGGCCCCGGAACCGGGCGUUUUGCCCCUGGAGCGCGGGGGGCUCCCACCCCGCGUCGCCCGAGGACUCCCGCACCCGCUCACCCUCUUUGUCAGCCUUGAAAACAGGAAGGAUUAGGGCCGUAGGUGUGCUGCGCUCAGCGCUCCGCGCGCUCGCCCCUCACCCCGCGCCAGCCCCGGCUCCGGGGCGCGACGGCGGGUCCCGUCUCCCCCCGCGCCCCGGGACCCCGGGGAGCCCGGCCCGGCCGCGGGGAGGGGGCUCGGCCCCGGCCCCCUCGGCGGCCGCCUCUGCACGUACAAAGGCCCCUCGCAGAGCCAACAGCGGCUCCUCGCAGCGGGCUCCUCGGGGACGUGCGCCCGCUCCUCUUGGCGCCCAGGCAGAGCUGGCGCAGAAACGCCCGCGGCGAGCGGCCCCGCGGGCAGCACCGCUCCGCGCCGGGCAGGAGGCGGCCAGCGGGCGGGCGGCGAGGGCGGGCGCAGGACGGGAGCCGCGGAGCGGGGAGCGCGGCCGCGAGGGCCCGCAGCAGCUUCUGCCGCGGCCGGAGCCCCUCGGCGCCCUCGGAAGCCCGGCGCCGUCCCGUCCCCGCCGAGCCCGGCCGGGCGCAGGCACCGCCGGCAGCACCGGGGCCGCCCGGCGCCGAGAGCCCGGGCCCCGCGGCUGAGCGCGGCGGGCAGGACCGAUGCGGUCCCGGGGCCCCGUCGCGGCUCAGGGCGAUCCGAAAACGGGAGGCGGGGGG